UCCUACUUAUAUAUGUGGGCCUAAUAUUUUAUCACUUAUGUCCGUCAUUUCUAUAAGCUCAAACCUACCCAAUCUACCCUACACUAUAAAUACUCCUUUAAUCCCCAAAAAUUUGCCACACAAAGAUCAAAGGGGUAAGUUUUUUUUUCUAUUCUUUCUUUUUUUUUUUUCCUUCCUUUAUUUUUUUUUCUCCUUGCGUGAGAUUGCAGCCCGCAUUAUUGCGGUACGGCUGCUGCCGUGUGGCCCGGCCACUUUACCAGCGCUACGAACCCACCAUCGGCGACCUCCUUCCACCUACGAUGUUGCCGCUGCUACCAACCUUGAUAUAUACUUGGUUCGAGAAGUGUUGUAGUGUAUUCGGCUACUUUAAGGGCUUAUUUGAGUAGGGACAGUUAAAGAGAAGCUUUUCAGGUGUUGCAGCAUAUUCAUGUUGGGGGUUUGAGCGAAGAGCGAACCUUACUUUAGUUUUAUCUUGAAUUUGUGUUUACAAUUGAUUAUUGGUUUAUUAUUGCUAUUUAAUGAGACUAACACAUUACUUUUAAAUAUUCGUUUGGUUUUGAAAAGCCCUACAAUGGUUCCAAAUUGUAGAUUUGACUUUGUUUGACUUUACUUUUGUUUGGUGGACUGUUGGACUUUGACUUUGUUUUGUAAGGUUUUGAAAAUGUCUUCAGCUGUGUAUCUUUGAUAACUGCCUUAGUCGUUAUCACGGUGGCGGUAAUGCCUUGGUCAUUUCCUAUUUUGUAUUUAAAAGGGUAAAACAUGUAUUUCAAAAGGGGAGUAAUUUCCAGGGUGUUACAUAUAGCUCCUUGUUGCUCCAGCGUUUCUUGGCCGUUUGAUGUGAUCAAGUCAAAUAUCGUGCCACAUCAUCACUUAUCAUCCAAUACCAUCAUAGCUUAUGUACUUAUUUAAUUAUUUUAUUUAGAAUGAAGCAAAAAUGUAAAUAUUUGAGAGGAUUUUAUUUUUCCUCUUAUGCUUUAUUUUAUGCUUGAAUGUUCUUUUAGUUUUCUUCUCCAUUGUUGAACCCUAGAUUAUUGUUCUUCAUUAA